rnacentral:tRNA from 1 species
GCCGGGAUAGCUCAGUGGUAGAGCAGCGCUUUCGUAAAGCGCGGGUCGGGGGUUCGAGUCCCUCUCCCGGCUCCA